GUGAAAAGAAAAGAGAGGGAGGAAGUUAAGUUGGACGUGUGUGUGUGUGUGUCACAGAGAUCACACAGCUGAGGCAUGUGGAGGUGUACAGCACAUAGGUGUUUUGACUGACAGCUUCUAGCUGUAAUCACGUGUAUGAUUGUUUCCACAUGUGAAACGGAUGUAAAAAUGAUUGGAUGAAAAAUCCCCCCCGUGGCCGGCAGUCUGAAUAAAGGCUGUGAAGUCGUGUCAACAUGGUUUCAGUUAUCCUGCAGGAAACAGAUGGUCUACAACAGCAGAAGACUACAUCAGGUCCCACUCCUGUCAACUAAGACAGCACAGGCUCACCAAAAUUGGAAAUUAGAAGACUGGAAAAACAAUAUGAGCAACAUUCAGAAGGUAGGGUCAGAAUUUUGCAUAAAAAACACGAAAGUGUGUCUCCGUCAUGCCUCGUUCAGGCAGUUUUGCUAUACUAUUGGCUGUAAAUUACUUCAGGUG
ensembl:lncRNA